rnacentral:rRNA from 1 species
ACGGCUGAGAAGCUCCCGGAGCAUCUAAGUUUAGGUGCUCCCGGAGCACCAGAUAUCUUCCCGUUCCUCCUCCUGAUCCGUGGAUCAGGAAAGUUGCUUUUCGUUAUCUCUGUCAUCGACGGAAUAAAUGACUGGCUUGGAUGGCAGGUGGUGGGAGUGGGGCGGUACAGUCGUCUCCUACCUCACGCUUCAGGAUAUCUACCAGAGUGUGGAGAAGGGAUUCACCAAGAGAUUCAACCAUGUAGUUCUAUAUGCAGCCGAUCAAAAGGUAUGAAAGGCCUCCCCUAGUGUUUCUUGUCCUAGUAGAUUCCAUGGCCUCGAUCUGAAGUUUGGGCCGAUUUCUUGUGAGAUUUACGGUGCUUGAGGUCGUUAACGACAGUGACAUCCCUACGGAGCCCCUUCCAUUAUCCUGUUGCGGCUCCGCCUGCUGGUAUCGAGCAGAAUCAACCCCCGUUGAAAGCUACGACGGUCAAAUUUGUGUGGUCGGAGCUCAGAGGGAAGAUUCCCCACAAGCCUCGUCACAAUCCGUUGGAAAGAUGGAUCCAAGAGCUCCAGUAUGGGCACGCAGGAAGUCUGGAGAGAAGAAUGUGUUUGUUUCGGUUCCAACUGCAAUCUGUUCAGGCAAUUCUGAGCAAAAGCUGAACUGUGGUAGUUCACCAAAAGUAGCUGACUGA